rnacentral:rRNA from 1 species
CCGCCCGUCACACCACGAAAGUGGUCAUCACCAGAAGUAGGUGAGCUAACCCGCAAGGGAGGCAGCCUGCCAAGGUUAUGGCUGCGAUUGGGGUG